rnacentral:rRNA from 1 species
CGCGGCCUAUCAGCUUGUUGGUGAGGUAACGGCUCACCAAGGCAUCGACGGGUAGCUGGUCUGAGAGGAUGAUCAGCCACACUGGGACUGAGACACGGCCCAGACUCCUACGGGAGGCAGCAGUGGGGAAUAUUGCACAAUGGGCGCAAGCCUGAUGCAGCAACGCCGCGUGCGGGAUGAAGGCCCUAGGGUUGUAAACCGCUUUCAGCAGGGAGGAAAAUGACGGUACCUGCAGAAGAAGGUGCGGCCAACUACGUGCCAGCAGCCGCGGUGACACGUAGGCACCAAGCGUUGUCCGGAUUUAUUGGGCGUAAAGAGCUCGUAGGCGGUUCAGUUAGUCGGGUGUGAAAACUCUGGGCACAACCCAGAGACGCCACCCGAUACUGCUGUGACUAGAGUACGGUAGGGGAGUGGGGAAUUCCUGGUGUAGCGGUGAAAUGCGCAGAUAUCAGGAGGAACACCAGUGGCGAAGGCGCCACUCUGGGCCGUAACUGACGCUGAGGAGCGAAAGCAUGGGUAGCAAACAGGAUUAGAUACCCUGGUAGUCCAUGCCGUAAACGUUGGGCACUAGGUGUGGGUCUCAACCAACGAGAUCCGCGCCGUCGCUAACGCAUUAAGUGCCCCGCCUGGGGAGUACGG